rnacentral:rRNA from 1 species
GUGGGGAAUUUUGGACAAUGGGCGCAAGCCUGAUCCAGCAAUGUCGCGUGCAGGAAGAAGGCCUUCGGGUUGUAAACUGCUUUUGUACGGAACGAAACGGUCCUGGCUAAUACCCGGGGCUAAUGACGGUACCGUAAGAAUAAGCACCGGCUAACUACGUGCCAGCAGCCGCGGUAAUACGUAGGGUGCGAGCGUUAAUCGGAAUUACUGGGCGUAAAGCGUGCGCAGGCGGUGCUGUAAGACAGGCGUGAAAUCCCCGGGCUCAACCUGGGAAUUGCGCUUGUGACUGCAGUGCUGGAGUGCGGCAGAGGGGGAUGGAAUUCCGCGUGUAGCAGUGAAAUGCGUAGAUAUGCGGAGGAACACCGAUGGCGAAGGCAAUCCCCUGGGCCUGCACUGACGCUCAUGCACGAAAGCGUGGGGAGCAAACAGGAUUAGAUACCCUUGUAGUCC